rnacentral:rRNA from 1 species
GUGAGGAAUAUUGGUCAAUGGGCGAGAGCCUGAACCAGCCAAGUAGCGUGCAGGAUGACGGCCCUAUGGGUUGUAAACUGCUUUUACACGGGGAUAAAGUGUGCGACGUGUCGUUCAUUGCAGGUACCGUGCGAAUAAGGACCGGCUAAUUCCGUGCCAGCAGCCGCGGUAAUACGGAAGGUCCGGGCGUUAUCCGGAUUUAUUGGGUUUAAAGGGAGCGUAGGCCGUCUGUUAAGCGUGUUGUGAAAUGUAGAUGCUCAACAUCUGAAUUGCAGCGCGAACUGACCGACUUGAGUGCGCAGGAAGUAGGCGGAAUUCGUGGUGUAGCGGUGAAAUGCUUAGAUAUCACGCAGAACUCCGAUUGCGAAGGCAGCUUACUAAGCUACAACUGACACUGAAGCACGAAAGCGUGGGGAUCAAACAGGAUUAGAAACCCGUGUAGUCC